GGGCCUUGUGCCUGGUUUGGGCAGCCACUGUUAGGCAGUGCAACCUGAUAAAUAGAGGGGUAACAUGGGCUCUUUUGGGUUGACUUGUUUAUGUUUCGCUGUUAAGAAUGGUCAUCUUGUUCCUGAUUAUUCUGUUUGUGUUCUGUUCUUAGAGGGAUCCUGGCUGCUUUGCAUUUCAACGAGAAUGCCAACAGGGAGCAGCGGAGCAGACACGAUGGCGAGAUGAUGUUCAACCUGCGGUAUCCAAAGUAUAAGAAGGGCGGCUACAUUGUGAGGAAAGUCUUACAGGAGCCAUCUUUUGGCUAUGCUGAAGAGCUGAUGCGGAUGGUGGAGGCCAUGUGUCGAGGUGAGGACUACAACGGUGAUGACUUUGACAUCCCAGACCCGUCCCCUGUUACAGAGCCACUCAAUGCAUCAUUCGAAAAGCCGGAUAAGAGGGCAGCAGUCAAUGCACAUAUGACCCGCUUUAGCAUUACAAAUAACACCUAAAUGUACACAUGAGAACCGGACUGAAUGGAAUAAACACAAACUUAAUUUCA